rnacentral:rRNA from 1 species
UGGGGAAUAUUGCGCAAUGGGGGCAACCCUGACGCAGCAACGCCGCGUGCGGGACGACGGCCUUCGGGUUGUAAACCGCUUUCAGCAGGGAAGAUAAUGACGGUAACCGGAGAAGAAGCCCCGGCUAACUUCGUGCCAGCAGCCGCGGUAAUACGAAGGGGGCUAGCGUUGUUCGGAUUUACUGGGCGUAAAGCGCACGUAGGCGGACUUUUAAGUCAGGGGUGAAAUCCCGGGGCUCAACCCCGGAACUGCCUUUGAUACUGGAAGUCUUGAGUAUGGUAGAGGUGAGUGGAAUUCCGAGUGUAGAGGUGAAAUUCGUAGAUAUUCGGAGGAACACCAGUGGCGAAGGCGGCUCACUGGACCAUUACUGACGCUGAGGUGCGAAAGCGUGGGGAGCAAACAGG